rnacentral:rRNA from 1 species
CGGCUCAGUAACACGUCGAUAAUCUGCCCUAGGGUCUUGGAUAACCUCGGGAAACUGAGGCUAAUACAGGGCAUGGGAAUUCUACUGGAAUGUGUUUUCCUAGAAAGGCAACGCCCUAGGAUGAGUUGGCGGCGGAUUAGCUUGUUGGUGGGGUAAUGGCCCACCAAGGCUUGGAUCCGUAGGGGCCUUGGAAGAGGUAGCCCCGAGAAGGGAACUGAGAUACUGUCCCUAGCCCCACGGGGUGCAGCAGGCGCGAAAACUUUACACUACACGAAAGUGUGAUAAGGGGAUUCCAAGUGCUUAUACACAUGUAUAAGCUUUUUUUGAGAGCAAAAUUCUCGGAGAAUAAGUGGUGGGAAGGACCGGUGCCAGCAGCCGCGGUAAUACCGGCGCCACUAGUAGGGAUCAUGGUUAUUGGGCCUAAAGCGUUCGUAGCAGGCCUUGUGAAUCUCUUGUGAAAUCGUUGGGCUCAACCUAACGGCGUGCAGGAGACACUGCAAGGCUCGGGACCGGGAGGGGUCAGGGGUAUUCCUUGGGGAGCGGUAAAAUGCUAUAAUCCUUGGAAG